rnacentral:rRNA from 1 species
UGCAGUCGAGCGCGCCUUUCGGGGUGAGCGGCGGACGGGUUAGUAACGCGUGGGAAUAUACCCUUUGGUACGGAAUAGCCUCUGGAAACGGAGAGUAAUACCGUAUGAGCCCUUCGGGGGAAAGAUUUAUCGCCAAAGGAUUAGCCCGCGUUAGAUUAGGUAGUUGGUGGGGUAAUGGCCUACCAAGCCUACGAUCUAUAGCUGGUUUUAGAGGAUGAUCAGCAACACUGGGACUGAGACACGGCCCAGACUCCUACGGGAGGCAGCAGUGGGGAAUCUUGGACAAUGGGGGCAACCCUGAUCCAGCCAUGCCGCGUGAGUGAUGAAGGCCUUAGGGUCGUAAAGCUCUUUCGCCUGUGAAGAUAAUGACGGUAGCAGGUAAAGAAACCCCGGCUAACUCCGUGCCAGCAGCCGCGGUAAUACGGAGGGGGUUAGCGUUGUUCGGAAUUACUGGGCGUAAAGCGCACGUAGGCGGACUGGAAAGUUGGGGGUGAAAUCCCGGGGCUCAACCCCGGAACUGCCUCCAAAACUAUCAGUCUAGAGUUCGAGAGAGGUGAGUGGAAUUCCGAGUGUAGAGGUGAAAUUCGUAGAUAUUCGGAGGAACACCAGUGGCGAAGGCGGCUCACUGGCUCGAUACUGACGCUGAGGUGCGAAAGUGUGGGGAGCAAACAGGAUUAGAUACCCUGGUAGUCCACACCGUAAACGAUGAAUGCCAGUCGUCGGGUAGCAUGCUAUUCGGUGACACACCUAACGGAUUAAGCAUUCCGCCUGGGGAGUACGGUCGCAAGAUUAAAACUCAAA